rnacentral:lncRNA from 1 species
AAGGUAUAAAACUCGUGGCAAAAGUCUCACCUUGGGAAAAGAAGCUUCUCUACGUGGAGCUGAUUUUAAUCACAGAAUGUCAGAGUAAGCUGAGUUGGAGGAGACCCACAAGGAUCAUCUAGUCCAAUUCCUGGCCCUGCACAGGACCCUCUCCAAGAGCCAUGUCAUGGGGCUGAGAGUAGCUGCUAUUCUGAAAUAUUAGAGAAAGGGAGAAAUUGUUUCUACAAAGUGCUUGAACUAGGUCUCUGCUCUGAAUUUGUUCCUGGAGAAGCUUUUACUUUCUCUGUUGAGUAUUGAGGAGCCACAGGAUACCACCUGCCUAUUAUCUUGCUUCUUCUGAAAACGAAUAGUAUACAAUACUUGACAUACAAUACUUGGGUUUAUGAGAGAAGCUUUAAUGCCAAUAUUCGUCAUUGGAAAAAAGACUCAUGAACUCUAAGAAAUAAUGUGUCCUGUCUGGAAUGC